CCUACGGGGGGCAGCAGUGGGGAAUAUUGCACAAUGGGGGAAACCCUGAUGCAGCGACGCCGCGUGAGUGAAGAAGUAAUUCGUUAUGUAAAGCUCUAUCAGCAGGGAAGAAAAUGACGGUACCUGAGUAAGAAUCCCCGGCUAACUUCGUGCCAGCAGCCGCGGUAAGAUGUAGGGGGCAGCCGUUAUCCGGAUUUACUGGGGGUAAAGGGGGCGUAGGCGGCAGGGCAAGGCUGGAGUGAAAGGCGGGGGCCCAACCCCCGGACUGCUGUGGAAACUGGACGGCUGGAGUGCAGGAGAGGUAAGUGGAAUUCCUGGUGUAGCGGUGAAAUGCGUAGAUAUUAGGAGGAACACCAGUGGCGAAGGCGGCUUACUGGACUGUAACUGACGUUGAGGCUCGAAGGCGUGGGGAGCAAACAGGAUUAGAUACCCCAGUAGUC
rnacentral:rRNA from 1 species